GUUCCCGCAUGCCCCAGGGGUUUAGGUGCAAGGGCAAAGCCGUCCAGGUCCCCAUAGAAUCACAGAGUGGUUUGUGUUGGAAGGGACCUUAAAGAUCAUCUGGUUUCAACCCCCCGCCGUGGCAAGGACACCUUCCACUAGACCAGGUUGCUCCAAGCCACAGCUUGGCCACAGCCUCUGCCGCUGCCUGCCACCGGGGCCGGGCCAGAGAACAGGCUUUGCGAUACUUCAGCAGCACAGGAGAAGACAAACAGUCUUGAAAACCCAUUUUCCAGCCAUUGGAAACCAGUAUGGGAAUCCCUUAGGAAGCAUGGCAGUGGGACAGCUUUGGUAGCUGGGUCUAGAAAUCACUCCUCUGAAAGCCGAAAGGCAGGAUCUCUGUGGUUUAGACUGAGCCCUGGCUGAUGGGAUGUAACCAACAUCUCCAUCACACAGCUUGCACCCCAGGUAGACAGAUUGCUUUGGAGAACCAAGGAGCUGUAGAAGAGACGGGCUGUCCAGUUAUGGACUUGAGGACAGAUGAUGCACCACUGGAAGCUGCCCUGCACAACCAGGACAUGAGCUUAGCAGCUCUUCUGCUAUAAACCAGGCCUUCUCAGAAGGCCAUGAGUCAAUCUUUGCUGCCAUUCAAUAAUGAAAUAAAAAAGGGAGACAGAUCAUUAAGAAAAGAGUUUGGAAUAAAUGUGGGUAGGUAUAGGUUACCUCCUGUGAUUCAUACCAUAACACAUUGUUCAGUCAAUAAAUGGAGAUUUUGGUAUUUUACUGUACAUUUUUAAGUUAUUUUUAAGAUGGGCUUAAGUCAUACAGUUUGGAUCUAAAUCAAAACUUUUGACCACUAAUUCACAGUUCUUCUGUUCUGGGAACAUCCAGAUCUGCUUCUGGAUUUAAAAAAAUGCUUAAAAAAACCCCAAAUAAUUAAUUCUUUCAUUCUCUUGGUUUUAUUUUCCUGAAGAACAGAAUAUCAAAGCAAAGCACAAUCAUGCAUUUUUCUUGGGUGUUCCCUGAGCAGCCGUGCCAGUCCUCGUGGGAGACAGUAAUGUUGAUUUCCUCAGCACUCUGUUUUGCAUUGUCCUCUCUGUUAAUUUAAUGAACGGUUUCACAUCUGUUUGUAAUUCCAGUGAGUUCCCUGCACGUGGUUUUAUGAUUUCCUUAUUGCAGAUGUUUUCAAAAAGUCAAGGUGAUCCAGGGCUUGUUUUGUCCCUUGCACCCGGGUUUUCAUGGAUCACACCCUUGAGGUCUUCUCGAUUCAGAACCUGGCUUUUAUACUUCUCGCCCCAGUCCUCAACAAUGUACUGAUGAUAGGGAUCAUUGGAGUGCUCUCGCCUCUUUGACUUCACAGUACUCACCAAGAUUGCCACAAUAAUGAAGGAGAACAUCCCGAUCAUCACCAUCAAAUAAAGAAUAACAUAGUCAAAGUUUUCAGCAUCAA